GAGUUUUGAUGCUGAAUGUGAAGUUUUACGCAACCUUCGUCAUAGAAAUCUUACCAAAGUUAUCAGCAGUUGUACUAACUUGGAUUUUAAAGCAUUACUUCUUGAUUAUAUGCCCAAUGGAAGCCUAGAGUUGUGGUUACAUUCUGAUGAUCGCUUCUUGAAUAUGAUCCAAAGAUUAGACAUAAUGAUCGAUGUUGCAUUUGCUUUGGAAUAUCUCCAUCAUGGUUAUGGAACAGCGGUUGUACAUAGUGACCUGAAGCCUAGCAAUGUCUUGCUAGAUGAAAAGUUGGUUGGACAUGUGAGUGACUUUGGCCUGACCAAGUUAUUAGGAGAAGGGGAAUCAAUUUCUCAUACUAAAACACUUGCUACAAUGGGGUACAUUGCACCAGAGUAUGGAUCAAUAGGAUUAGUUUCUACAAGAUGUGAUGUGUACAGCUACGGAAUUAUGCUCAUGGAAACUUUCACAAGAAAAUAGCCAUAUGAUGAAAUGUUUCAAGCAGAUUUGAACAUGAGAAGGUGGAUCUGUAAUUUACUAUCUGUCGCACCAGAUGAUAUCAUUGAUGACACCUUAUUGGAACCUGAAGAGAUUGAUUUUAAGAAAAAGUUGCAUUGUGUGUCCUCUAUUUUGGAGUUGGCAUUGAAUUGCACAGCUGAAUCUCCUUAUGAGAGGCCGAACAUGAAAGAUGUCCUGGCAAAUAUCAAUAAGAUCAAACAAGAAUUUCUUCGCAGAUGAUGUAACAAGGUUUAUGUGAUGGUAAUUCUGCCUUCCACUCCUGGUUUAACAAAUCUGGGUGACCCCAAUUGCGACGAAUACCAAUCUUUGUCCCGAGAUUAGAACUUUUUCUUGUUCAUUCAAGUUUGGAGUGUGUGUCAAAUAACUUUAAUAUAUAAGAUGUGUGCUAAAGUUGGUAUGGAGAAUGUCUUGUAUUAGUAUGGAUGAUCAUUAUUGUAAUAACAAUUUAAUUAUAAGAGGCAGAAACUCAACCCAAAAUCAUUUUCAGGUAAGUGCGUCAACCCCACUUAAAUCUUCAUUCAAGGCAAUUUCUUGAAGACUUUUAGUUAAAUUUGGGGCACUGUAUUUUCUGCAAACAAACUGUUUGAUUGAUUGUCUCAAAGAGAAAUAGAAUCUGGCUUUUCCUUAUAAUUA